rnacentral:rRNA from 1 species
GAUGAACGCUGGCGGCGUGCCUAAUACAUGCAAGUCGAGCGAACAGACGAGGAGCUUGCUCCUCUGACGUUAGCGGCGGACGGGUGAGUAACACGUGGAUAACCUACCUAUAAGACUGGGAUAACUUCGGGAAACCGGAGCUAAUACCGGAUAAUAUAUUGAACCGCAUGGUUCAAUAGUGAAAGACGGUUUUGCUGUCACUUAUAGAUGGAUCCGCGCCGCAUUAGCUAGUUGGUAAGGUAACGGCUUACCAAGGCAACGAUGCGUAGCCGACCUGAGAGGGUGAUCGGCCACACUGGAACUGAGACACGGUCCAGACUCCGACGGGAGGCAGCCGUAGGGAAUCUUCCGCAAUGGGCGAAAGCCUGACGGAGCAACGCCGCGUGAGUGAUGAAGGUCUUCGGAUCGUAAAACUCUGUUAUUAGGGAAGAACACAUGUGUAAGUAACUAUGCACGUCUUGACGGUACCUAAUCAGAAAGCCACGGCUAACUACGUG